CGCACAUGGCACCGCGCAGCUCACAUCGUCGCUGAAUCAUAUUGAUUUCCCUCUCGGAUAAUAGGACAAAGAAAGGUUAACGAGGUGAUGUCUGAGGCUCGUUCCCAGGCCCGGCCUCAGUUGCUCCUCGACUACCGUGAAGGACGUUAACCGCCACGUCGUGUGCUUAUCUUCGCUACUAUGCAUUCCUGCUGUACGGAAACCUCGAGAAGCCACUGCAUGGAAUAUGGAUUGCUGGGUGUGGGAGAUCGCUGUGAAACUAGGGCGUCUGGCAGCGCAGUAGACUUCGGAUAACAAACCAGGAACGGCAGUGGGUAUGGCCAUCAUCUAACCGCCUGUAAACUACAUGUGGUCAACGAAGCAUGGAGCUAGGACGCCCUACGCAGUGCCACCUCCGCCCACAAAACCCCUGUAGAUCAUGGGUGCGACUUCGUUAAAUAUUUAGAAGCAAGAUUGGCAGUGGAGGAAGGUUUAUCACCUGGGAGACUUUUCUAUUCACGCUGGGACUAACCAACCUGUCUGCAUGAUCCCACAGGAGAAAACUGUGCUAAGGCUACUUUUCGGAAAAUACAUAAUUUACAUUGAUCCAGUCGGCUAAUGGAGUCUACAGGAAGGAAUGGAGAAAUGGAAAGCAUCGGGGGUUUUGAGAGAUGUCCAGCGUUAUCUUACCUGGCAAAUCUACUUUACUCUUAAACUGUGGGAAAAAAAAAUGUAAAA
rnacentral:lncRNA from 1 species